rnacentral:rRNA from 1 species
UGGGGAUCUGCCUAAUGGAGGGGGACAACUACUGGAAACGGUAGCUAAUACCGCAUAAUGUCUUUUUGCUUUUGCAGUUUAAAGACCAAAGUGGGGGACUUUUUUAUCAAUAUUAAGCCUCAUACCAUUAGAUGAACCCCAGACGAGAUUAGCUAGUAGGUAAGGUAAUGGCUUACCUAGGCGACGAUCUCUAGCUGGUCUGAGAGGAUGAUCAGCCACACUGGAACUGAGACACGGUCCAG